rnacentral:rRNA from 1 species
CCGGCGACCGGCGCACGGGUGAGUAACACGUAUGCAACCUGGCCGUGACAGAUGGAUAACCGGGAGAAAUCCCGCCUAAUACAACAUAAUGCCGGGAGGGGACAUCCCCUGCCGGCCAAAGGGGGCGACCCCGGUCACGGAUGGGCAUGCGGCGCAUUAGGUAGUUGGUGGGGCAACGGCCCACCAAGCCGACGAUGCGUAGGGGUUCUGAGAGGAAGGUCCCUCACAUUGGAACUGAGACACGGUCCAAACUCCUACGGAAGGCAGCAG